rnacentral:lncRNA from 1 species
AAAAAAAGAAAAAACUGAAAUUUGGGGAUACCCAAUUGGAGUUUCUGGUUAAAAACUGCUGUUACAGAUCAAUACCUAGGUUGUUUCCACAUUGUGAAAAAGAUUAAAUAUAAAUGCAAGUUUCAAAAAAAGCAUUAAAAGGGUGGAUUAUUAGCAAACAGAAUGGCAGUUUCGAGCAAUAUAAGACAUUGUUACAGCUCAUAAUUUUGGAUCUUGGCAGAUUGCAUUAAAAAUGAAGAAAACAGGCAAGAAUAAAACAUCAAACAUUCAAUUUUGGACUUUGUGUUGAAUGGAAAUCAGUGGGAAGUUAUAAAACCAAAAAAUGGAGAGGAAAGAGGCUUGUAGAAGCCUCGUGGAAUUUUCC